rnacentral:ncRNA from 1 species
GAAGAAUAUUAGUUUUUCUUAAUGUUCUGCUCACAAUCCAGCAAUCCGGCAACAGGACGUUGGCGGAAGCGAAAGCUGAGCCAUGGAUGGCGAAUCUUGAGCGUUUGCGUCUUUUCCCACAACUUAACCCAGAACAUUUAGAAAAUCUUAUAUUCGUA